GGAGAGGUUCCCGAGUGGCCAAAGGGAGCAGACUGUAAAUCUGCCGNNUUCGAAGGUUCGAAUCCUUCCCUCUCCACCA
rnacentral:tRNA from 1 species